rnacentral:lncRNA from 1 species
GAUAUUUCUCAAGCUUUAUUUUUUUCUUACUGUUAAUUUUUUUUAAAAAGAUUUUUAUUUAUUUAUUUGAGAGAGAAAAAGCAUAAGUGGGGGGAGGGUUAGAGGGAGAAGCAGACUUCCUGCUGAGUGCGGAGCCCCAGGAAGAAGCUCCAUCCCAGGACCCCGGGAUCAUGACCUGAGCCAAAGUCAGACACUUUAACCGACUGAGCCACCCAGGCACCCGAUGAUUCUGAAACUUUAACUUCAUCAGAAUCAGCAGGACGGCUGGAAGAGCUCACAGUCUAGAGAUGCGGAUUUGACAAGACCAGAGUCUUUUGCUGUUCCCUCAACUAGAAAUCGCUUCCCUCCUAAUUCAUCAUUCAGAUGUCAGCUGCAGUGCCAUUGCCUCCCCUGGGAGGCCCUCCCUGACUACCCAGGCAAGGUCAAGCCCCACAGUCGUAAACAUGUCUUACAUUAUAGUUCUUGUCCUUCCCUUUCAAAUGACCGUCCACCCCAUCACAGCACAGUCACAGUCAUCAUCACAGCACAUCAUAGUCACUGCUGUAUCCUCUGCACCUGGCUGUCAUGCCUGGCACCUAGUACAUGCUCAAUAAAGUUUUGUGACCAAGUCAACUUAGGUGAAGUCACUCAAGUUUUAUUUGGAAGCAAAUUGGAAUCAGGAGAAGACUUGGUUAGCAUCAUCAUGUUAAUCCUUAGGCAAUGCUAUCCUCAAGCUCCACAGACCUUGGGCAAGUCCUUUCCCCUCACUGGGUCUUAGUCUCCUCUAAAAGAUGAGAUGAUUGGGUUUCUAAUAGUGGCAGUUAGAUUUUAGCUUUAGUGCCGAGUCUGGUGUGUUAACCCGACCAUAGGGUCGAGAAGAAUUCUGAAGCUGAGUAUGAGCUCAGUAGGAAAAUGUCUCUGAUCAAUUAAGGUGGUCUGCAGUGGCUAAGACAGGUCGCAGUAGUCUGCAGGCCAGGUUUUAGCAUCCUUGGAAUGUAAUUCUUAAGGUGUUGGGGGGUGGGGUCAGUGUUUAAACCCUUGAUCUGCUAAAAUUUAAGGCCAGUAUUGCAAACACAGCUUUGUGCAGGGGCAGGUGGAGAGCUGGUUGUAACUUCAGAUCCAAGGCUGGCGGUCGAGCCCUGGCCUCUCUCAGCUCUGCUCACUGCUCCUUGUGGGAACGGGCUCAAGUGGCCAAACUAUAGGACUUCUCAAAAGGAGCGGAAUUCCUUGAUUUUGUAAUCGAAUAGAGUGAGGCUCUGGCAUUUCCCUUGGGACCCAUUUGCUUCCCCUUCCUGCACCUCCCAGUGAGGAUAGCUGGAGACUUCUAGAGGAAUACCCACACAUCCCCUCUGCAGGGGUACCUCCUCUUUUCCAAGGCAUAGCCUUUGUGUUUCAGAAGAUGGAAACGUGUGACUUCACGUCCCUCCCCAGCUCCCCUUGAAAUCCCUCAGACUCAGC